GCUUGGUUUGUUGCUCCCAUACCUGAUAAUUAUUGGCAGAAAAAUAACACUCAAGGCCAGAGUCAACAAGUUGACCAACAGAGAGAAGAUUGUAGGAUAACUUUGGAAUGUGAUAAAUAUUAGAUAAGUUCAAGUGGUUUCCAAGGCUCAUAUUACCAAUAUUUUUGAUAGGUAAUGAGAUUCCACAAGCAGUAAAAAUAGAGGAUAAAGAG
rnacentral:lncRNA from 1 species